rnacentral:rRNA from 1 species
AGUGAACGCUGGCGGUAGGCCUAACACAUGCAAGUCGAACGGCAGCACAGUAAGAGCUUGCUCUUACGGGUGGCGAGUGGCGGACGGGUGAGGAAUACAUCGGAAUCUACUUUUUCGUGGGGGAUAACGUAGGGAAACUUACGCUAAUACCGCAUACGACCUACGGGUGAAAGCAGGGGAUCUUCGGACCUUGCGCGAUUGAAUGAGCCGAUGUCGGAUUAGCUAGUUGGCGGGGUAAAGGCCCACCAAGGUGACGAUCCGUAGCUGGUCUGAGAGGAUGAUCAGCCACACUGGAACUGAGACACGGUCCAGACUCCUACGGGAGGCAGCAGUGGGGAAUAUUGGACAAUGGGCGCAAGCCUGAUCCAGCCAUACCGCGUGGGUGAAGAAGGCCUUCGGAUUGUAAAGCCCUUUUGUUGGGAAAGAAAAGCAGCAUGUUAAUACCCCGCUGUUCUGACGGUACCCAAAGAGUAAGCACCGGCUAACUUCGUG